GCAAGCAGGCAGAUCUUCCUCUUUCUUCUACCAAAUUGAAAUCCAAUGGAUCCGGCGAAAUUGAGCGAGCUCAAGAAGUUCAUCCAGCUCUGCAGAUCUAAUCCUCUGUUCUCAAUGAUCCUUCCCUCUCCUUCUUCCGAGACUAUCUCGAAAGUCUUGGAGCAAAGCUUCCAUCCUCAUCUGACAGCCACGGAGCC